AUGAAGAUCUGCAUCAGCACUCUGCUUUUUACCAUCGCGAUUUUUCAGCAUUUUAGUCAGCUGAAUGCAACGGAGCCGGGAGAAGGUGUAUGUUUGGAAGAAAGGCGAAAGCGAGGACGACCGCGAGGGUCACUGACAACGCGAAUUCCAGGACAGGUUCUAGGGCGACCGCGAAAGAAACCGUUAGAUCAAGAAAUAAAUUCAACAGAGCAGAGAGAAGGUUCAUCAUUAGGAGAACGUCGAAAGAUAGGGCGACCACGAGGAGCAUGGGCAAAUCAAGUGAAAUUUCAAGUCGCA